ACAAGCGGAGGAGCAUGUGGUUUAAUUCGAUGAUACGCGAGGAACCUUACCUGGGCUACGAACGUAAGAUGACUGUAGGUGAAAAGCUUACAUCUCUUCGGAGCAUUUUACGAGGUGCUGCAUGGUUGUCGUCAGCUCGUGCCGUGAGGUGUCGGGUUAAGUCCCAUAACGAGCGCAACCCUACCUUAGUUGCCAUCAGGUUAAGCUGGGGACUCUAAAGGAACUGCCUACGCAAGUAGUGAGGAAGGCGGGGAUGACGUCAAAUCAGCACGGCCCUUACGUCCAGGGCUACACACGUGCUACAAUGGCCGAUACAGAGGGCAGCUACCUGGUGACAGGAUGCAAAUCUCCAAAGUCGGUCUCAGUUCGGAUCGGAGUCUGCAACCCGACUCCGUGAAGUUGGAUUCGCUAGUAAUCGCGCAUCAGCCAUGGCGCGGUGAAUACGUUCCCGGGCCUU
rnacentral:rRNA from 1 species